rnacentral:ncRNA from 2 species
CGUGUGAUAAGGAGAGUUAAGCUGAGAAGCGUAAGAAGGAAUCAAUACUCUUCGAUGCACCUUAGGAUGAGAUGUAUCAGAUCAAUCCCCGUAUCAAGCGCGCUUCAUGUGUGAGUUUGAGAUUAAAUGUGAUCAAUAGUACAAAUCUCUUCUUACGCUUCUCACCUUGUCUCUCUUUCUCACA